rfam:Oryza meridionalis cultivar OR44 (W2112) chromosome 7, whole genome shotgun sequence.
UUUAAGUGCAACCAUAAGUUUUAGCAUCCAACUUUGAUCGUCCAUCUUAUUUGGAAAAUUUUUAUAAUUAAUAUUUUUGUUGUUAUGAGGUGAUAAAACAUGAAUAGUACUCUACUCGUGACUUAUGUUUUUAAUUUUUUCUAAAAAAAUUUCAAAUAAGACGGGCAGUUAAAGUUGGACGCGGAAAACCAUGGUUGCACUUAAA